rnacentral:lncRNA from 1 species
CUGUGACUUUGCAAAGGAGACUUAAAUCACUCGUGGGUGCUGAGGGCUGUAUCAGCUUCCAAAACAUUGCACAUCGUCAGCAUCCCUUCAAAAAGAGAAAAUGUAAAAAAGCACUUUACAUUAAAACAAGUUCAUAGAUUAUUUUUCACUACCCCUAGCCGUGAGUUUUUGACCUGACUAUGAAAAUGAACUCCAGCCAAUCUACUCUAGCCCAAGUCUACUCUUUCUUUAGGGAGCCUGCUGAGUAUUUAUAUAGAGAUUUGCGUUUACGUUGGGUUUUGAGUCUUUCCACCCCUCCUCCUGUUGAUGAGAAGAUUCCUCACACAGCCUGCUGAGGGGCAAGUGGGCAUUUGCCAUGUCUGUUCCAUCUGACCUCAUCUCUUUGGCCACGGCCAUCUGGACAUUGAGUCUGACCCAAGGUUAAGUCAACUAUACACUAGUCAGUGACCCAAGUGGUCUGGUUUGAAAGCAUCAGUAGAGCCAAUCCGAUUCCCCUUUUGGGAAUGUGGAAUUAGCCAACAGAGACUGAGGCGGACAGUAGAAGCAGGGCAGAGGUGAGAAGACGCUGUCAAGCUGAACAGGGGCCAUGACAAGCACCCGCAAGGCAGAUUAGGAGGGGGGAGAAAAGGAGGAGUUCAAGGAGAGCGAGCCAGUGUCAAUCACUAACCUCAGCCAGUCUGGUUGGUUGGUGAAGGUCAGGGGUGUGUGAGAGUGUGUGUGUGUGUCUGUGUGCACAUGUAUGGGACAAUGUCACAGUUGGCAGCCUCACUGCUUCCUAAGUCUCAGACCAAAUUUGACCAAGUGUACUGGCUGUGCCAACAGACGUCUCCCAGCCUGUCUGGAGUGGGAAGAAGUCACUUUCUGUCUCUCUCCCUCUCCUCUGUCUGGUCUACCAGGACUUGCAUGAAAGGAACCCUCCCAAGCAGAAGGGAUGUCUUAAGAUUGGGAGGUGGCAGUAUCCUUCUUAAGCCAGAGAAACCUCAGAGGAAAGGCUUCUGUACACUGAGAUGGUGCUGGUGACACAGGCUGCUGUGCUUUCUGGUUUUUGUGUGUGUGUGCGUGAGGAAGAUUGGUCCUGAGCUAACAUCAGCUGCCAAUCUUCCUCUUUUUGCUUGAGGAAGAUUGUUGCUGAACUAACAUCUAUGCCAAUCUCCCUCUGUCUUGUAUGUGGGAUGCCACCACAGCAUGGCUUGAUGAGCAGUGUACACACUGCUCUGUGUACUGGAUCCAGUCUGUGCCUGGAUGCAAACCCCGGGCCCCUGAAGCAGAGCAUGCAAACUUAACUACUAUGCCACCAGGCCAACCCUGGCUUUCUGGUUUUUAAUACCAUUUUCAUGGAAGGUGGAAGGUUCUUUUAGAUUCCUCCUAAUCCAUCCCAUUUUAAGCAUCACUAAUGCCACCAAUCAAAACCACUUCCUUUUUUCUUUCUUUUUUGCUGGGGAAGAUUUGCCAUGAGCUAAUAUCUGUGCCAAUCUUCCUCUAUUUUUUAGUAUGUGGGUCACCAGCACAGCAUGGCUGCUAGCAGAGUGGUGUAGGUCCACACCUGGGAACCGAACCUAGGCUAUCGAAGUGGAGCAUGCUGAACUUAACUACUCAGCCACGAGGGCUGACCCCAAAACUACUUCUAAUGCUAAUAAACCAAGCCUAAAAUGUUGAUACAGAUGAGGAUGAAUUUGGCUACACACACAUCACAAUCAUUGCACUGAGGCACUGCAAAGUCAGUCCCACAAAGCACAAUAACCCUGUUACCAUGUGUUAUAUAUGUUUGUGGUCAGGAGGAAGCUGAGAAACUGCUUCUUGAUUUUUGGUUGACUCCCUCAGUAUCUCUCUGAGUUGGGUGUUAGGAAGAUGGUGUAUACAUUUGCACAGGGACAAAUAUCUCUUGGGGGCAGGGAGAGCAAGACCCUUCUCCCUUCCCUGUGGGAUUCCAUUUUUCUGUGUGCACGUGCUCACUCUCACACCCGCAUGCAAUAGUGUUGGAGCUUGCUCAGAUUGUGCAGUUUACUGCAGGUACGUUCCAUCUGUGUUCGAUGGCCAUCUAUUGGGCUGUAUGCAGCUUUGGCUUGUUGAGGACCCACUUGAGACCAGACACUGUGCUGUAGAGAUGAAUCUAAGGCAUUUACAGGCUAGAGAAGAUGCAAUUAAUUAUUUUAUUCCUGGUGUGCAUCUCCCCAUUUCUAAAACAAGGAGUGCAGAAGUGCCUGCUCUUCCCCAGUUAAAAAUCAUGGUGUAAAUAGAUAAUAUUUCCUCAGCAUCCAAAAUGACAAAAAUAUUAUCCAACAUAUUUUGCCUGCACUGGGCUGGAAGUCUCUACAGUGGAAUUCGCCAUUGCUAAGACCUCUGUGUAACCAGACGUCUAACCACAGGACACUAGAGCUGCAUAUUAGUUUGCUCUGCCCCUCCACCCAGCCUUGUCACUGCAGAGGAGAAUCAGAGUUUAGAGGAUGUGUUCCGUAAAGGGUGGGAGACAAGUUCCUUUAUGAUGUGUUGACUGUCGUCGUGGGAGCCAGGGGCUACUGCUCUCGGGAUCUAGAAUUCAUUUAUCCAUCAAAUAUGAGUGCCUCCCAGGUGCCGGGUACAGUUCUAGGGCUCUGUGUACAGCAGUGAACAAGACGGACAAGGAUUACACUUCAUGGAGCUUUUCUACAGGAAGGCAGCAGACAUACCCAAACUCUGAGUGUGAUGUGGGGCACAAAGUGUAUCUCAGCUGCUGAGAACAAGAGCGUUGGUAUCCCCAGCCCUUCACUCUGAGGGACUGAUACCCACUGCGGGGGCUCCUGAGAGAGGUCAGUCCAGCAGGCCUUGUCUCUGGCUAGUGUUGUCUUCUGGAGAGAGCAGGGCUGGUGAGUCUCCCGAACUUUGGACUUGGACUCUUCUAUCAGCCAGGCUUUGUCUGGGUUAUUUCCCAGGGGAGACAUUUCCCACCUGUCCGAGCCUGGACCAAGAUGCCUCCAAAUGUACUGGAAAACGUUGUGACUUCUCAUCUACAGGAAAAUCAAAAUGCCAGGGGCUGGCCCCGUGGUGGAGUGGUUAAGUUCACGCGCUCCGCUGCAGGCAGCCCAGUGUUUCGUUGGUUCGAAUCCUGGGCGAGGACAUGGCACUGCUCAUCAAACCACGCUGGGGCAGCGUCCCACAUACCACAACUAGAAGGACUCACAACGAAGAAUAUACAACUAUGUACCGGGGGGCUUUGGGGAGAAAAAGGAAAAAAAUAAAAUCUUUAAAAAAAAAAAAGUGCUCAUCUAUUGUAUAUAUAGUUU